rnacentral:rRNA from 1 species
GAGUUUGAUCGUGGCUCAGGUUGAACGCUGGCGGCAUGCCUUACACAUGCAAGUCGAACGGCAGCACGGGAGCUUGCUCCUGGUGGCGAGUGGCGAACGGGUGAGUAAUGCAUCGGAACGUAUCCUGGAGUGGGGGAUAACGUAGUGAAAGUUACGCUAAUACCGCAUAUUCUGUGAGCAGGAAAGCGGGGGACCUUCGGGCCUCGCGCUCUUGGAGCGGCCGAUGUCGGAUUAGCUAGUUGGUGAGGUAAAGGCUCACCAAGGCGACGAUCCGUAGCAGGUCUGAGAGGAUGAUCUGCCACACUGGAACUGAGACACGGUCCAGACUCCUACGGGAGGCAGCAGUGGGGAAUUUUGGACAAUGGGGGCAACCCUGAUCCAGCCAUGCCGCGUGAGUGAAGAAGGCCUCGG